rnacentral:rRNA from 1 species
ACUCCUACGGGAGGCAGCAGUGGGGAAUUUUGGACAAUGGGCGAAAGCCUGAUCCAGCCAUGCCGCGUGCAGGAUGAAGGCCUUCGGGUUGUAAACUGCUUUUGUACGGAACGAAACGGCCUUUUCUAAUAAAGAGGGCUAAUGACGGUACCGUAAGAAUAAGCACCGGCUAACUACGUGCCAGCAGCCGCGGUAAUACGUAGGGUGCAAGCGUUAAUCGGAAUUACUGGGCGUAAAGCGUGCGCAGGCGGUUAUGUAAGACAGUUGUGAAAUCCCCGGGCUCAACCUGGGAACUGCAUCUGUGACUGCAUAGCUAGAGUACGGUAGAGGGGGAUGGAAUUCCGCGUGUAGCAGUGAAAUGCGUAGAUAUGCGGAGGAACACCGAUGGCGAAGGCAAUCCCCUGGACCUGUACUGACGCUCAUGCACGAAAGCGUGGGGAGCAAACAGGAUUAGAUACCCUGGUAGUCC